rnacentral:lncRNA from 13 species
AUUUGAAUCUUUAUUUCAAUAGCUUAUAAGUUUAUCAAAACUAUUUUUUGAGCUGAAAUUUUCUUCUUUUCUUCUCAGCCUAAAGGUGAAUAUUUUGAAAAGUUUAGACAAAAUCAAUUUAGUAACCAUUUUUUCCCUGUAUUUAGAUAAGAGUGAAAAUUAAUUUUCCCACUCAGACAAAAAUUCUCCCAGGAUUUAUUUGCACUCACAUUGCUCAAGAAAAACAAAUAUUAAGAACCUGAAACUUGGGAGAACUGGAGCCCUCACUGUGGAAGAAAAAAAAAUUGAAACAUGCUGUGGCAACAGAAAAGUCAUUCUGGCAGCAGAAGAGGUUAUUCAAUGAGGUUGCACUGUCUGAAGUCAUCCCUUCCUUAGGAAACCAGAUGCACUGGCUGUUCAUCUAUCCAGAAUUCUCUUGCUGCACAUAUUUGCAUGACUGUCUUUCAACUACUUUUAGAUUUUGCCCAAAUGUCAC